rnacentral:rRNA from 1 species
GAAGGUCUUCGGAUUGUAAAGCACUUUAAGUUGGGAGGAAGGGCAGUUACCUAAUACGUGAUUGUUUUGACGUUACCGACAGAAUAAGCACCGGCUAACUCUGUGCCAGCAGCCGCGGUAAUACAGAGGGUGCAAGCGUUAAUCGGAAUUACUGGGCGUAAAGCGCGCGUAGGUGGUUUGUUAAGUUGGAUGUGAAAUCCCCGGGCUCAACCUGGGAACUGCAUUCAAAACUGACUGACUAGAGUAUGGUAGAGGGUGGUGGAAUUUCCUGUGUAGCGGUGAAAUGCGUAGAUAUAGGAAGGAACACCAGUGGCGAAGGCGACCACCUGGACUAAUACUGACACUGAGUGCGAAAGCGUGGGGAGCAAACAGGAUUAGAACCCUGGUAGUCCACGCCGUAAACGAUGUCAACUAGCCGUGGAAGCCUGAGCUUUAGUGGCGCAGCUAACGCAUUAAGUUGACCGCCUGGGGAGUACGGCCGCAAGGUUAAAACUCAAUGAAUUGACGGGGGCCCGCACAGCGGUGGAGCAUGUGGUUUAAUUCGAAGCAACGCGAAGAACCUUACCAGGCCUUGACAUCCAAUGAACUUUCUAAGAUAGAUUGGUGCCUUCGGGAACAUUGAGACAGGUGCUGCAUGGCUGUGUCAGCUCGUGUCUGAGAUGUUGGGUUAAGUCCCGUAACGAGCGCAACCCUUGUCCUUAGUUACCAGCACGUAAUGGUGGGCACUCUAAGGAGACUGCCGGUGACAAACCGGAGGAAGGUGGGGAUGACGUCAAGUCAUCAUGGCCCUUACGGCCUGGGCUACACACUGCUACAAUGGUCGGUACAGAGGGUUGCCAAGCCGCGAGGUGGAGCUAAUCCCAUAAAACCGAUCGUAGUCCGGAUCGCGUUGCAACUCGACUGCGUGAAGUCGGAAUCGCUGUAAUCGCGAAUCAGAAUGUCGCGGUGAAUACGUUCCCGGGCCUUGUACACACCCCCGUCACACCAUGGGAGUGGGUUGCACCAGAGUAGCUAGUCUAACCUUCGGAGGACGGUACCUCGGCU